CUAGAAAAUUCAGGCUGGGAGAGACUGUGCUUUAUCCGAGAGCAAGGAAUCUGAAUCCACACACCUGUGACUCACCAGCCCAAGAGCCCUUCUGCUCAUGCUCACCUGAGACCGGGCGACUCUUUUUCUUCGGGUGGCUCACACAACCGGAGCAAAGCUGACUCAGUACAACACAGAAAUUGAAGCAGAGUCUGGGACCCCAGCUCAGAGAUGAUACUGCCCACAUUCAGGAUGGACCUCGCCACCUCAGCUAAACCUCUCUGGACACACCUUCAUAGACACAUCCCAGAAGUGUGUUUCCACGGUUGUCAGAGCUGACAAUGGAACUUAACCGUCACAGUUACCCAAGGAGAGGAUUUCCCAAAUGGAGCAACAAUAAAACCAAACCAAACCAAACCAAAACAAAGUCACUAAGAAUCUGCAAAUGUACCGUUGUGAGGAGUAACAGGAGAGGGAUGCUCCAACAGCAAAGAGCCGGCCACACGAGCAUGAGGACCUGAGUCUAGAUCUCCAGAACUGACCUAAAACCCUCAGCAUGAUGGCAUGUGUUUGUCAUUCCUGCUCUGGGUAGGCAGAGAUGGGUGCAUCCCUGCAUCUCACUGGUCAGUCAGCCCAGUCAAAUUAACGAGCUCUGGGUUUCCAUACAAAAUAAUGUAGAGAAUGAUUGAAGAAGACCUGGAAACUGAUCUCUGACUCCAUGUACACAUAGAUGCUUGUGCACCCUUACGUGUGCACGCACACACACACACACACACAGACACACGCAGAAGACACACGUAUGUUACACCCACCACUACUCACAAAAAUCUAAGUAAAACUCCAGAUGUUUAUAGGUAUUUUCAUAUCAUUUUUAACUUUUUCCUCUAAACUGUAGUACAUAUAAAAAGUUGUCCAAAAUAGAAGUGGAUAAAUGAUUAUGUAUCCGUGUGCUUGCUCUCCCUUCCCCCCCCUUCCAAAAGUACUUUUGUGAAAUCCAAUUUGAGGGUCUAAAUAAGUGGUCCAGUGGUUAAGAGCAUUUGUUGCUCUUGUAGCUCCAAGUCCAAUCCUCAACACCCACAUUAGGCAGCUCACAACCAGCUCCAGGGGAUCCAAUGCC